UACGUAGGUGGCAAGCGUUGUCCGGAUUUAUUGGGUUUAAAGGGUGCGUAGGCGGCCCUGUAAGUCAGUGCUGAAAUAUCCCAGCUUAACUGGGAGGGUGGCGUUGAUACUGCGGGGCUAGAGUACAGAUGAGGUAGGCGGAAUUGACGGUGUAGCGGUGAAAUGCUUAGAUAUCGUCAAGAACACCUAUAGCGAAGGCAGCUUACUAGGCUGUAACUGACGCUGAGGCACGAAAGUGUGGGGAUCAAACAGG
rnacentral:rRNA from 1 species